rnacentral:lncRNA from 1 species
UUUUUUUACAUGAUUUUUAUUUUUUUCAUUAUAGUUGCUUUACAGUGUUCAGUCAAUUUUCUAUUAUACAGCAGUGACCCAGUCACUUAUAACUAUGCAUUCUUUUUCUCACAUUAUUCUCCAUCAUGUUCCAUUGCAAGUGACUAGAUAUAGUUCCCUGUGCUAUACAGCAGGAUCAUAUUGCUUAUCUACUCCAGAUGCAAUAGUUUACAUUUAUUAACCCCAGACUUCCAUUCCAUCCCAUUUCCUCCCCCUCCUCUUUGGCAACCACAAGUCUGUUCUUCAAGUCCAUAAGUUUCGUUUCUGUGGAAAGGUUCAUUUGUGCCAUAUAUUAGAUGAUAUGGACAUUUCUGAUUAUACAACCAGUUCCCCAAGGCCACAUUGCUGGUAAUGGCCAAAGCCACUUCCUUCUUCUUUACUACUGCUCUUGUGCUCCACUUUGUGGACUUAGAAGAUGUUAAUAAGCUGAAAUAAAUAAUUAGUUUUUUUGUACUAAAAGAUUGAGGAUAUUCUACUCCCAGAAUGGAGGAGGAUUCCAGAAAUGAAGAAUGUCUUCUGUACCUUUUCUUAUAUUCAUCAUUAUCCAGUAGGAUUCCCAGGCACUGGUACAUCUGGCUGAAUAUCAUUUCCAGGACCCUCAGUGAUCUCUCAGGGACUCAUCUCUGCAACAAAGAGAGAGUCACUAAAUAACUCCUGUUCCUAAUAAACAACCUGACAGCAGGUGCACCAUGGCUCAGCACAUUAACCAUAUUUACCGUCUAAGAGACAGAAAGAAACCUGUCUCAUUUGAUGAGGAAGCCGUAAAGUUUUAGUGAAUGGGGAGUAAAUCAAGGUUUCCACUUGCCUUGUAAAAAUGCACUGCCUCACACUGCAUCUCACCCUUCACUCGCAUGAGUGUAUUUUUAUUUCUUUGCAUAAAUAAAACAUGACUCAAAGACACCCUCUUGACUUGCUCCUGGUACUGGGUUCAACAGCCCCAGAAUUAAAGUUGGCACUGUGUUUGUGAUGAGGCCUGAGCAUUUAUGAAACACCUAAAAUACUUGCAAGGUGAAAAAAAGGCUUUAAGCUGAAAAGGGACAGAAAAAGAAAUGAAGUCUUUUUGAGAAGACAUGCAAAGUGCCUGUUCCAGUCUUGGGCACCAAAUAAGAUCAUAAAAUAGGCUACUUGACUCUUUUUCCCCAUGUAUUAGAGCCCAGAGCACUUUGAGGAUAAUAAUAGCAAAGUAACCAGUCAAAUUCAAUCAAACAACCAGCUUUUAAAAUUGAUUCACAAGCUUAGUGGCAAGUGCUAAACUGUGUUCUAUAGUCACGUGAAUAUGGUGACUGUUUGGAGACCUAAAAUUUUGUGGUUCAUUUCAGUCAAUCAUUUUCUUCUAUUUUGACCCAAAGUAUUUCAGGCAAAAGCUGCUUUGCUGGCUUUUAGUAACUCUGAUCUGUCUGACUGUCUCUCUUUUUCCUAAACUUUAAUUUGGGAGCUGAUAUAUAGUGAAGAUCAAAAGUGAUUUUCUUGUAGAGAUCCAGGAGGGGUCUGUGGUGAGAAGGUAGAGAGGGGGCAUCUAGCUGGCUAGUCCCACGGGUCUGGGGCUGGAGCAGGGGGUGGUGCCUGGGAGCAAAGGCUAGAUAACUAUGGAAAGUUGCAAGUGUGAGCUGCAGAAAUGUAUUCAAAAUGGAAUGUUAAACCUGCAGCCCUUGAAUCAAAUACUGGAAGCUGAGGUUGUGCCUACGAGUGUCUGGAAAUUGGAACAAGAAAGGUGAAGGGAAGCUGUCAAGGUGAAGGUCUGACCAAGCAGGUUCUGUUUUCUGGUCAGGUUCAUGAACCCCUGGUGAACCUUUUCCUGGAUAGUUUCUUUAAAGUACCUAGAAUGCAUUUAAUGGAGAACAUCGUCUGUUUAUCUGAUUCUUCUCAUUUUUAUAUAUUUAUUUUUGUUUUACUAAAAUGGUAACUUUUUAAAGGAUAUGUUCCCUUUAAUAUAGUUGUACAUAUAAACUUUCUGCUAAGAGACAUUAUAUGCAUGUCAGAAUUUUAUAUAAAAAUUCUUCAUUUAGGACAACAGGCAAUAAAUAACACUAUAUUCCAAAGAGAGCAAUGGACAUUGUCCCCUGAAUCUGAAAGGACAGUGCAGAAAAAUGACAGAAACCACAGCUCUUCCUUCACCUAUGUGUGAAGCAGCCUGGAGAGUGGGCAGGAUGUGAGUUGUGUUUGUAGACUUAGGGGAGGCAUUAACUCUCUCCUCUUUUAAGGAGCAUGUCUCUCAAGUCAAAUGAGGGCACUGUGUAUAGAGAUUGGAGGGCACCUGCAAAAGGGAAGACUAGCACUCCCCUCCCCUCCUAGCUGGGUGCACGUGGGGAAUCCAUGGUUCUACUCUGGAUCACCUUUGAAACAAAGUGGGGUACAGUGAGAAAAGCCUCUGCAGCUUCUUCAGUAUGUGUCCUGGGAGAUGGAGGGUAUGUGCAAAUAGAAACAUGUCUGCCUCCUGCCUGGGGAGUCCUGAAGUCCACAUGUUGUCUGGAGCAGCCCUAAUGGCAAGAAGAAAAGGGCAGGAAUGAGGCAGCCCACAUAUCAAGUUUGACUCUAAGGAUGAGUUUAUUGCAAAAAGUACUGGAUUAGAUCUUCUUAUGAUUACCUGCCAGUCUGUGGGAUCAGGAUAAAAUACUAUAGGUGUGUUACCUGGGAUAGGAGUGGAGGGAAGUGUUAGAGAGGUCAGCAGCAUGUGUAUCACCCUGUGAGGGAAGUAGGAAAAGGCCCCCAAAAUACUGACUCUUGCAUUCCAGGAGCGAGCCAGCUCUGAAAUAUCUCUGCCCAUUGGGGACAUUGAGAGUCAGCUCAUAGGGAAUCUAACAAUGGAUGCAGUUAAGUAGAGUACCUGUUGCCUUUCUCCUACUCCCCUUUCCUCAUACUCAGUAAGAGUAGGAAAAGGGAGAAAGAAGAGAUGAAGGAAGAGGAAGAAACAGACCAUACCUUCUUUACCACUGCUGAUCUUGACCCAAGGCUUGAACUGAGCAAAAGUCAGGUUUGGAAGCUUUAAAUUGAAUGUGAGAUUCAAGUUAUAAUUUAUGCUGAACUUUACUUUUAAAAAAGAAAACAGAAGUCAAUUCCAAAAUGAGAACAGUUCUUUUGUAGCUAAAAGUGCCUGGAAAGUUAAUGGAUCUGCUCAAAUUGAACUGGCAUCAAGGGGUGAUUUGGCAGAGCAGAAAUAAGCAGUGGCUGGGGGAGAGGGGAUAAAACUGUUUCAUGCUCAGACUCUACUGGGGCUUUCCGGAAUGCUAAAUAAACUAGUUAUACCUGUUAAGAUAGUCUUACCAUUUUCAUGGCCUGGGAUAAUAGAAAAUGAUAAUUUCUUUUGUAAAGCAAAUUGAGGCAAAUAGACAUACCUACUUGGGCCUCAAGGUUACUUGAGGCUAUUUGUUGAGUAUUUUCAACCCCAAUCCCUUGCCCUAGACCCUGACCAAAGGGCUGGUGACUAUUUCCAUAGAUUGGGGCACUCUGUUUUAUACUUAGUAUAAGCUUAGAGUGGCCAGGAGAAUUCCUCAUCUUCCUUUAUAGGAUAAGGGAUAAUUUUUCUCCAUACAAAGCCUACUUAAGAUUACCUGUAGAAAUCCAUAGGUUUAAAUUCUCAUCUGCAUAUUAGUGUAGAAGCAGCAGAGAAUAAUGGAACAAACAUUGGCUUGGGAGACAAAGUUCCAAAGUUGUAAAUGGCCAGCUGUUUAUCUUGGGAGGACUCAAUCUAUCUGGGUUUUUGUUUCCUUAAUUGUCAAAUGAGGGGAUUGAGAGGCAUGUAUUUAAUAAAUGGCAGCCAUCACCAGCACUAGCACCUCCUCUCUCCAAGACUGAGCUGUAAAGAGAAAGAGCAAUAAUCAUCUGGUUAAAUUAGUUCAUCAAAUUUUGAUUGGAUGCCUACUGCACAUGGGACCAUAAAAGGCAAUAUGAAGCUCCCUGAAGCAUGUAAAGUGGGACGUUUUGCACCCUAAGGCUGCAGAACUCUCCAAAGUCCUCAGUGUCAUUCUAUAGGACAGAUAAUGUGUGAUCACAUGUCUCUCUGUGGCUUCUAAGACCUUUCCUGUUUAUUCCAUGCAGCAGCACAUCCUGGCCAUGCAUUGGAGAGCUUCUGAGUGGAGUUGAUUACUUGCCAGUGCUAUCUUAAUCCUCAGAUGUCCACUCCUCUGGUUGCUACAAGCACCUGGAGGAGGCAAUAUGUCUAGCAGAUUGUUCACCUUCAUCUGAUGCCUAAAAUAUUAAAAAUGGAUUUGAGAUAUCCACGGCCUAUCAGUACUCUGUUUGGUCAAAUAUCAGAUUUUAGCUGCUAUUUGCCCAAAGACCUAGAAAUUAUCUGAGGGGAGAGUGGUAUAUGUGUUUGGUAGGAAUGGGGAUCACUUUAUGGGCAUUUGCUUCCUCAGGCAAGGAACUCAUAGUCAGGAAUUUGGGUAGAAAGAAAUCCUAGUUUGUUCUUGUGAACUAACUUCAGUCAAUGAAUUAAUAAAUAUCAGGCAAUUUAUUUAUUUUCUCCUUGCCUUAUUUUUUCCUUUUAUUCCACCAUUUUGAUUUGGGUUCCCCUGAAAAAAGAGCCUUGAGUGUAGGAUGGGUGCUGGUGGUUUAUGUGACCCUAGGAAUAGGGGAGAGAAAACAAAGGCAGUUGGUCAGGCAAGGAAGAAAGUCAAUGUAAAGGUCCAUUAUUGAGCUCAUUGCUCUAAGAAGUGGGUGCUUGAUUCUUCCAGAUUCUCUGGAAACCCUCCUAGAAUCAUCAAUUGGAAAUAUGAGGUACUGGAACCUUUAUUCACUAGCUACUUUCCCUCUCUGAUGAUUACCCUUAUGGGCAUUACCUCUCCUGCAUUUGUGAGCUCCCAGUUCUUUGGCACAGUACUUUGGAAAAGACCCUGGGGGCAGAAUGUACACACCUCUAGAGGUGGAAGACUGGUACUGGGAGCUGUCCGUGGAUCUAGUGCUGAAACCAGAUGGAACCUGGGAGAUGUAACAAAGGUACCAGAAGGGUCUUCUUAUUUUAAAAAGGAUUUAUGGUGGCCUGCAAACAUGCAUAUGUUAACCUACACUUUAAUAUAUAUUCAAAUGAGUUAAAAAUGAGGAGGCUGUUACAAAGUUAUAAGAACAGAUGUCAUUUAAUCCUGUACACUACUUAGAUGUGGGGCUUAAAUAAAACUCUCUGAACUUUGAAACAGUCAACAUGAAGAGGGAAUUGUGAUAAAGUAGAAACUUUGCAAUGACUGGAAGACAAAAAUGAACCAUUUGUUCAGUAGAAACAUAACUAUUUAAAGUACUCAUAUCAAAGAAGAGUUUUCCUGUGGAUCCUCAGAGAGGACAAGGGGAUGGGAUGAACUACAUCCUGGUGAAACUCUUUCAUGUAGAAAAUUCAUUAUGAGUUUCAUAAUGUUGUUUCUUAUGUUUGAAUGUAGGCAAGUGGCUUCCCCCAAAGCAUUAUUUGUAAAAGAAAAUCUAAGGUAAGUGUCGGGAAGGGGAUUAUCAAUAAGAUGCAGUUCACUUGGUGGUCCUAUGAUGGCCCCAUUAAAAGAUAGAUGGUUUUAGAGACUAGAGGAAUGAGUGAGCCAAUUACUUUUAGGAUUAGUUUUGCUCUGAGUGCUUCUUAUCAUACCUCUCUCUGUUUUUCACUCUUUCUUGUUCAACUCUCAUUCCCAUCUUCUUUCCUUAGAAUG